GGGUGGGGGGGAGUUGGUAGUGGCCCAGUACAUUUUAUAAAGGCUUCUUAGAUGCUCAGAUUUGGUGGUUAAAACUCCAUAUACUGGAAACCCACAGACUGGAGCAUAGGCUUACUCUUUUGGGGUAAGUGUGAUGUGUUUGAAUCUCAGCUUAAUGCAGUAUAAAUUCAGCCCAGAAUGGGGAGGGGGGUGUGGGGUGCUGGAGGUGGGGCAGGCUUCUGAAGCCUUGUGUUGUGGACUGGGUGUGAUGGCAGAUAGCAAAGCUGCAGUGGGAAUGAAGAAUUGUCUGCCUUCUCUUUAAAACAUUACAGCUGGAGUCAAUUUUUUGCCUGCUUUACUUCCCUGGUGGUCAAGCUGACCAGUUCUGAAGGUUGGCAAGUGGCUCUGUGUUAACUCCAUCCUCAUAUGUCCUGUCCAUCAGGAAAAAUUCCCUGACACUCCCUGAAGAGCUCAGAACACAUCUGUUCUUGAGCAAAGAACAUGCCUUAAAUCUAUGGACUGUGUGAGCAGUGAUUGCAUGAAAACAUGAAAAGCAACUCUAUUUUUAAUAAUGCAAAAAAUAAAGUUUAAAAAUUAUUAAUCCUGUAAAAAGUGAAACAAAUAUGCCCAGAAUAUUCAGAGACUUCAGUCAGUGACCAGUUAACUGGAAAUAAUGGCUAAAUUUCAGGAAAUAUGAAAUAUGAUUCAAUUUGUUUAUGCCUCAGGUGUGGCACUUACAUCUUUUAAUCAUUACCUGCAAGCUUUGUAAAUAUUUUAAGACUCAGCCUGUCCUUUCUGCAUGCAAAGCUCCAGAUCCUCAGCUGCUACAAGAUUUGUAACUGAAGAAUGUCUGUAAUGAAGCAACUUACAUACAAUAUAUAGUUUUAUUUUCA